rfam:Listeria aquatica FSL S10-1188 c5, whole genome shotgun sequence.
AGAUCCUUUAAAUGUAGUCCAGAGAGGCUGAAAAGGUUAACGCUCAUUUUGGAGAAGGUUCUCCAUUUUAAUUCGUGAGGUACGUCUAUACCCUUUGCCGCUUUGGCAAAGGUUUUUUUUGUA